CAUCAAAACGAGCCCAAAACGGAUUUGAAUAUCCAACAGCUCAGCACAAAGCGCAGCUUCAUCCGCAUUCCAAUGGCUUCACGUCUUCUUUCUCGGAUACACAUUUUGAAACGAAAAGACGAUGAAGCAUUUGGCUCCGAAAUCAAUUUCCAUCUCCGAAAUUGAAUGACUAAAAUUCAAUCUCAAUUCUUGGCGUGCACAAAAUCGAAAUGAAGUGGAAUCAGAUUUGAAGCAAGAACUCACUGAAUCGGAAUUUCGGUUUGAACAAGUAAAUGCAUUUGGGAGGUGCUAGGAACUGCUUGAAAUUUGUUUCAAAUGGAAUGGAUUUGUAAUGGAACUUAAAUUGACUUGAUUGAAAUUGUAAUUUUGUCGUAACCUUCAAUUGAAAACAUUGGUUUGUGGUUGAAAUGGUUGAAUAUGAAUGUUGGUUUGAAUAUUGUAAUUUGUGAAUGGAAAUGUGAAAUUAAAUGAAAUAAUUUGAAUCGAA